rnacentral:rRNA from 1 species
CCUACGGUGGGCAGCAGUGGGGAAUAUUGGACAAUGGGGGGAACCCUGAUCCAGCGACGCCGCGUGAGUGAAGAAGUCUUUCGGUAUGUAAAGCUCUAUCAGCAGGGAAGAAAGACAUGACGGUACCUGACUACGAAGCACCGGCUAACUACGUGCCAGCAGCCGCGGUAAUACGUAGGGGGCAAGCGUUAUCCGGAUUUACUGGGUGUAAAGGGAGCGUAGACGGCGAUGCAAGUCUGAAGUGAAAGGCGGGGGCCCAACCCCCGGACUGCUUUGGAAACUGUAUGGCUGGAGUGCAGGAGAGGUAAGUGGAAUUCAUGGUGUAGCGGUGAAAUGCGUAGAUAUUAGGAGGAACACCAGGGGCGAAGGCGGCUUACUGGACUGUAACUGACGUUGAGGCUCGAAAGCGUGGGGAGCAAACAGGAUUAGAUACCCGGGUAGUC